UCCAGCUCAAAGUCCAUGAGGCGGCUAGGUCCAAACACUGGGGCAGCCCCUUCCACCGGACACGUCUGGCCGUUAGGUCGCCGGAUUGGAGUCCCAGUUAUGACAACAGAAGAUGCUCGGCCAUGAUAGGCUACAGGUUCUUAGAAAUCAGACGGGAAGACAAAAUAUUUUGAACUGAGAAGUAGCAAGCAUUUCCGGAAAGCUCCAGAAUUACUCACUGGAUUAUGAUAAACUUCAGUAUUGCAUGUAUACAAAGAAAGUCGUCAGUUAAAUUUAACUUUGUUUUGUACUGUUCCAAUAAAGGUACAUGACUCAAACAGAACUGUCUCAAUUUUCUAAAGGCAGUUUAUUGCUUAAAUAAUUGGUAUAUAACAUAACCUGUACAUCUCAGUAAGAUCUAAAACUUUUAUUGCUAUUUUGAUACAUGGCCAACUGGAUCAUGUGUAAGCAGCCAAUAAAAGUUAACUCUGUUUGUCUAUAAUAAAAACAACAACCUUUUA